CGAGUAAACGUGAUAAAACCUCGAUUAACAUACCAUUAAUUAUUUUCCGAAUCUCAUACAAUACUUGUGAGUUUGUGAGUUAAAGCUUGAUCUUUUAACUCAUUUGAUUAAUAAGAUGGAUGUUGUGUGAAUCUUUGGAAAUGUUUAAUAGGCUUCAGUUGGCUAGCUAUUGUGCUUGCAAACAGCUAGCAGGAACAGUAUUACCAUGUGUUAUUGCAUUAUUGUUACCAGAAUAUUACCAUUCAUUAUUGUUACCAGUAUAUUAUUACCAGUAGAUAUGUUAUUUGUAUAUUAUGCAGUGUAAUUGGCACCCAAGAAGUUGGCAACACAACAAACUUUGUCAUUACCCUGGCUCGGCUGAAUUGCAUAUUCACAUAAAUCUGACUAAAUGAAAUUGUUGGAGGUUUUAGUUGUACGAAAAGGCAUUAGGAAUUCUGCCAAGUUUGUUGUGCCUCAAGAUGUCUUUACGAUAACCAUAUCGAUCCUUACGAACAAAGAAACGACAUUCAACGACGAAAUACGAGUUUCCAAAUUCCUGUUUGCUGCCUGCAUAUCAAUCACACGUCGUGCAGUGAAUGGUUUUCAAUCGUCAAGUAAAAGUUGACACUCGACUUUAGAAAGUCAACAUCACCGUCUACAAUAAACUUGUUCCAUAUCGACUCAUAUGUCCUUACUGAGGACAAAACCACAUUUGGUUCAUCAAUUAGCCGAGGAUAUGGCUGAUGGUAUCUACACGGAUGAUACACGGAACAUCUGGCUGGUCCUGAUGGGAAUUGGAUGAAAAUGUUGCAUUUUGUAGUAACAAUUAACUUGUUUUGUAGUACGAUAAGCAAGAACUAAAAAACGGAAAUCAAUUGCUAUACAGCCAGUUGGUUGUUGGACGAUAUUAAUGCAUCUAUUCAAAUUUCAAAGUAACGGUAUUUCGGCACGGAAGUUGUACAACAUGGACAACUCGUCUCAAAUGUCGAUGCGCAGUUUCCCUGUCAAC